rnacentral:rRNA from 1 species
AUACGUAUGGGGCAAGCGUUAUCCGGAUUCAUUGGGCGUAAAGAGCGCGUAGGUGGAUUGUUAAGCGAGAUGUGAAAACUGGGGGCUCAACCCUCAGCCUGCAUCUCGAACUGGCAGUCUUGAGUUUGGUAGAGGAGUGUGGAAUUCCCAGUGUAGCGGUGGAAUGCGCAGAUAUUGGGAAGAACACCAGUGGCGAAGGCGGCACUCGUGGGCCAACACUGACACUGAGGCGACGAAAGCGUAGGGGAGC